GAUGAAGAACGCAGCGAAAUGCGAUAAGUAAUGUGAAUUGCAGAAUUCAGUGAAUCAUCGAAUCUUUGAACGCACCUUGCGCCCUUUGGCUAUUCCGAAGGGCAUGCCUGUUUGAGUAUCAUGAACACCUCAACUCUCGUGGCUUGCCAUGAUGAGCUUGGACUUUGGGGGUUUUGCUGGCCUAUGGCCGGCUCCUCUCAAAUGAAUUAGCUUGCCAGUGUUUGGUGGCAUCACAGGUGUGAUAAAUAUCUACGCUUGUGGUUUUCCACCAGGUAACCUUCAGUCGAUGGAGGUUCGCUGGGGCUCAUAAACGUCUCUCCUCAGUGAGGACAGCUCUUUGAACGUUUGAUCUCAAAUCAGGUAGGACUACCCGCUGAACUUAAGCAUAUCAAUAAGCGGAGGA
rnacentral:misc_RNA from 1 species